UACGUAGGGUGCAAGCGUUGUCCGGAAUUAUUGGGCGUAAAGAGCUCGUGGGCGGUCUGUCGCGUCGGCUGUGAAAACUCGGGGCUCAACCCCGAGCCUGCAGUCGAUACGGGCAGACUAGAGUGCUGUAGGGGAGACUGGAAUUCCUGGUGUAGCGGUGAAAUGCGCAGAUAUCAGGAGGAACACCGGUGGCGAAGGCGGGUCUCUGGGCAGUAACUGACGCUGAGGAGCGAAAGUGUGGGGAGCAAACGGG
rnacentral:rRNA from 1 species